AUUGAACGCUGGCGGCAUGCUUUACACAUGCAAGUCGAACGGUAACAGGCCGCAAGGUGCUGACGAGUGGCGAACGGGUGAGUAAUGCAUCGGAACGUGCCCAGUCGUGGGGGAUAACGCAGCGAAAGCUGCGCUAAUACCGCAUACGAUCUAUGGAUGAAAGCGGGGGACCGUAAGGCCUCGCGCGAUUGGAGCGGCCGAUGUCAGAUUAGGUAGUUGGUGGGGUAAAGGCCUACCAAGCCAACGAUCUGUAGCUGGUCUGAGAGGACGACCAGCCACACUGGGACUGAGACACGGCCCAGACUCCUACGGGAGGCAGCAGUGGGGAAUUUUGGACAAUGGGCGCAAGCCUGAUCCAGCAAUGCCGCGUGCAGGAAGAAGGCCUUCGGGUUGUAAACUGCUUUUGUACGGAACGAAACGGUUCGGGUUAAUACCCUGGGCUAAUGACGGUACCGUAAGAAUAAGCACCGGCUAACUACGUGCCAGCCGCCGCCGUAAUAC
rnacentral:rRNA from 1 species